rnacentral:rRNA from 1 species
UACGUAGGGUGCAAGCGUUGUCCGGAAUUAUUGGGCGUAAAGAGCUCGUAGGCGGUGUGUCGCGUCGGCCGUGGAAACCUGCAGCUUAACUGUGGGCGUGCGGUCGAUACGGGCAUCACUGGAGUUCGGCAGGGGAGACUGGAAUUCCCGGUGUAGCGGUGGAAUGCGUAGAGAUCGGGAAGAACAUCAGUGGCGAAGGCGGUCUGCUGGGCCGUUGCUGACGCUGAGGCGCGACAGCGUGGGGAGCAAACAGG